GAUGAACGCUAGCGGGAGGCCUAACACAUGCAAGCCGAGCGGUAUUUGUUCUUCUGAACAGAGAGAGCGGCGCACGGGUGCGGAACACGUGUGCAACCUGCCUUUAUCUGGGGGAUAGCCUUUCGAAAGGAAGAUUAAUACCCCAUAAUAUAUUGAGUGGCAUCAUUUGAUAUUGAAAACUCCGUUGGAUAGAGAUGGGCACGCGCAAGAUUAGAUAGUUGUUGAGGGAACGGAUGACCAAGUCGACGAUCGGUAGCGGGCCUGAGAGGGUGAUCGGCCACAUUGGGACUGAGAUACGGCCCAGACCCCUACGGGAGGAAGCAGUGGGGAAUAUUGCACAAUGGGCGGAAGCCUGAUGCAGCGACGCCGCGUGAGGGAUGACGGCCUUCGGGUUGUAAACCUCUAUCAGCAGGGACGAAGCGUAAGUGACGGUACAUGCAGAAGAAGCACCGGCUAACUAUGUG
rnacentral:rRNA from 1 species